rnacentral:snRNA from 1 species
AUACUUACCUGGCAGGGAAGAUACUAUGAUCACGAAGGUGGUUUUCCCAGGGCAAGGCUUAUCCAUUGCACUCUGGAUGUGUUGACCCCUGUGCUUUCCCCAAAUAAAAAAAAAUUCAAAGAAAAUAA